rnacentral:lncRNA from 1 species
CGGAAAAUAUUAGAAAAUAGAAAACUUUGGCUCAAACCUAUUUUUAUGUGAACAGCUUAAUCCUUUAUUUAAAACGGUAGCACAGCUAGGAAACAUACUUAAACCCAAAAAAAAAACUAUAAACUGAAUUCACAAAAGUAUGUGAAGUGCGAAGUGGUGAACCAACACAAGAGGAAUAUAUUUAAAGCUUUUUCUUACCCAUUUGUUCUUUAUAACAAGUUUCCAUAUAUUCCCUUUUGUUCUCCGCUGCUUUUUAUCCUACUCUUUUCUCCUUUAGCCUCUCUUUUCUCUUUCAUUCAAAUGGAAAAACUGAAUGAACGACCUUUAAGAUGAAUACAGUCUCUCUGGC